AGAUGCAUGCAAAUGUUCAGUUUUGUUGUGUAUAUCUAGCUAAAAUCAAACAAUUAUAAUUGUUCAGUUCAGCAAAGCAUGUCUCCUAAUAGACUGUAGAGCCUUGAGAUGACCUGUUUUUUGGUGAUCUCAAUUGUUCACUACUGGUAUAGUAGUAGUGAACAUCCCUAAAAACAGGAAUAAUUAUUUGACUUAAUUGAUGAUAAGAAAAAUGUUGCAUUAUAUUUACAUUUUAACACUUCUUGACUAGUGAUCAUUCUCUAUUUUGGUAUCAGUGAUCUCUCCUGGUCCGUAUCUUGCCUCUUUAUUUAGAAACCCAAUGUCAAAGUAUGGCUACAGUUCUACUGGCUGCUUUGCUUAUGUGUAAGAUGGUGCAAUGCCUCAUUUUUGUAACUGUAGUACUCUAUAAAUGUUUAAAUUAAUUAUAGGACCUAAAAGGAACAGGCCGGAACUAAUAUCCUGCUUUUGUAACUAAAUUAGGGUCUGUCUAGAUAUGCUGACACUUAAUUUUUUCAUCCCCU
rnacentral:lncRNA from 1 species